rnacentral:rRNA from 1 species
UCUUGGUUCCAUUAGAGGAAGUAAAAGUCGUAACAAGGUUUCCGUAGGUGAACCUGCGGAAGGAUCAUUACCGAGUGAGGGCCCUUUGGGUCCAACCUCCCACCCGUGUUUAUUUACCUCGUUGCUUCGGCGGGCCCGCCUUAACUGGCCGCCGGGGGGCUCACGCCCCCGGGCCCGCGCCCGCCGAAGACACCCCCGAACUCUGCCUGAAGAUUGUCGUCUGAGUGAAAAUAUAAAUUAUUUAAAACUUUCAACAACGGAUCUCUUGGUUCCGGCAUCGAUGAAGAACGCAGCGAAAUGCGAUACGUAAUGUGAAUUGCAAAUUCAGUGAAUCAUCGAGUCUUUGAACGCACAUUGCGCCCCCUGGUAUUCCGGGGGGCAUGCCUGUCCGAGCGUCAUUGCUGCCCUCAAGCCCGGCUUGUGUGUUGGGCCCCGUCCUCCGAUUCCGGGGGACGGGCCCGAAAGGCAGCGGCGGCACCGCGUCCGGUCCUCGAGCGUAUGGGGCUUUGUCACCCGCUCUGUAGGCCCGGCCGGCGCUUGCCGAUCAACCCAAAUUUUUAUCCAGGUGACCUCGGAUCAGGUAGUAGGCGUGGAUUCCGAC